UCAACACUACACUCCAUCUCUCCCUCUCUCUAUCUUAAUCUUCUUCAUAUCUUCAAGUCUUGUUCUUGAAGAUUCAACAUCCUUUCUAGUAAACUUCAAGAUAGUGUGAAGAUCUAAGGUUGUUCCCAAGGUGUUGUCAAGUGAAUACAAGCUUCCUAUCAUCCCAUAACUUACUUGAAUCUUGAAGGCACUUGUACAUGAAGAUACAUUUCGAUUUAAAGCUCAAGAAAUGGACAAAUAAAUAAUUUGAGGGAUUGUGUUAGCAUAUAAAAACGCACCCAAAGGUGAAGUUGCUUAGUGUUGAUUACGAAUAGGAAGCAUGCUCACUUAGGACCGGACGAGGCCUUAGUGAUUUAAUAAUGACAUUAGUCUAUGUUUGAUUUGCUUUUUUAACUUAAGACAAUGUUUAAUAUUUAAUGAAAUGAAACU
rnacentral:lncRNA from 1 species